CAAAAUUGAAAGUCAGUUGGAGGGAAAUGUGGUUGAGACCGGUCAGAAAUAGUCUGCAGAAAGAGAGAUAUAAGACAUACCCCGUAAUGGGGAAUAACUGAAUAACGAUAGGUAAAACUAUAAAUAAACAGAAUACGCAUGCUAUAAGGGCUUUUUUUUCCUACGAACAAGAAGACUAUUCUAUUUCUAGCACUUUUCUACUUUCUAGAAAUAGU
rnacentral:lncRNA from 1 species